CGCCCCCGCCUCUCGCGUACCUGUACCCCCAGGGGGGCAGCAGGGCCUCUCUCAGGUGCGCGCGUAGCUGCCCCAGCGUCGGCUCCGCUUGGGGCAUCUCCACCGGCCAGGUCCGCUUCUGAAGCCGGACCCGCAGCUUCAUGGCGGCCGCAGGAGGGCCCAGGGGCUGGGACCCCGAGGCGGCGAGGGUGACGACGGCGCGGCCGGUCAACUCCCGCCUCAAGCGGCGGCGGCCCCGGAGCGGCGACUGCCGGAGCUAUGGGGAUGCUGAGGUGUAACGGCGUGAAGGCCCCACCAGGCCGGUCUCUGGAACUGAGCGCCCCACCCCCUCUCUUGAGGGCGCCCCCUGGAGCCCACCCCGCGAGCAGGCUGCUGGUGGCCUGCGUGGAGCCAGGCCGCUCGGGAACUCGCGAUCGAUGACUCGGCGCGCGACAGCGCCCCCUGGGAGCCCGAGGAGCACACUGCGCAGGCGCCCAGACUGCAGCAAGGCGCGGGGAUCGCGGCUCUUCUGCUUGUUGCUGUACCACCUCUUUCCAGUUGCGCCUGGAGAACGUUAACGCUGAAAGGGAUGCUACAGGCAAAACUACUCGCCACUCCGCAAGGCCCAGGUGUACCUGGUUCUUACCCAUUUCCUCCUUGGCGCCCGGCUCCAGCACCAUACGCUCUGAGAAACCUUAGGUUGAGACCAGGCUCUGGUAGUUUCUCCCGUUACAGCAAAAUUAAAACAGCUUGUAGUCAGUGAUCUGUGUCGAAGAGUAUAUUAGUAAUCUGUCGCUGCAUAACAAUCACCCCAAAGCUUAACAGCUUAAGACAACAAACAUCUAUUGUCCCACAGAUUCUACAGUGCAGGAGUUUGGGCAUGGCUUGGCUGUUUGGUUCUGUCGUGGUCUCUCAUGAGAUUACAGUCAAGGUGUAGGUCAGGGCUGGAGUAUCUCAAUCACAUGACUGUUGGCGGAAGCCUCGGUUUUUCACUGCAUGGACCUCCCCAUCGGGCCACUUGGGUGUCCCAGUGACAUCCUCACUUCCCGCAAAGCCGGUGAUCCCAGGGAGACCAAGGCAGAAGCCGCAAUGUCUUUAAUGAUCUCAUCUCAGUAGUCACACACCAUCACUUCACUCACAUUCUAUUGAUCACAAUCCAAGCCUUCAGUGUGGGAGAAUCAACACAAAGGGCUGAGUACCAAGAGACAGGGAUCAUUGGGGGCCAUCUGGGAGUCUGGCUACCACAGAGGGCCUGGCAAUAAUGAUGAGGAUGAUGACUUAGGUGGCAGUGCGUGUCCACAUUGACCUUCAUUCAUUAAAUAAGUAUGUAUUGAUCACCUGCGUUGUGCCAGAUAUUGUCCUAGGUGCUGAGAAGACAGGUGCCUACCCGUGCAGAGCUUACAGAGUGUAACCACUGGGAUGGAGGAAGUAAUCCAACCACAGGAGUGAAGGAGGGUCCUGGAAGAGAACCAGAGCAUCUCCAAGGCACAGCCAAGAUUUAAGGAUGUCACCUUAAUGUCUGCAAGCAACAGGCACUGCAACUUUCAGAGAGUUCAGAAAUUUAUAUUUCUUUUUUUUUUAAUGGACCAUUUCAUAGAAUAUUACAAAGGGGUGAUGUCACUCUUCCUUGGGAAUCCAUUCAUUGGUUCUCUGUAGGCUUUUUUUUUUAAUUGAAGUAUAAUUGAUUUACAAUGUUGUGCCAUCUCUGCUGCACAGCAAAGCGACUGAGUUAUACACAUAUAUACAUUCUUUUUUUAUAUUCUAGGGUUUUUUUAAAUAAAUGUUUUAUUUUAGAACAGUUUUAGACUUACAGAAUUAUUGUGAAGACUUAUAUACCAC